AACGAACGCUGGCGGCAUGCCUAACACAUGCAAGUCGAACGAGACCUUCGGGUCUAGUGGCGCACGGGUGCGUAACGCGUGGGAACCUGCCCUUAGGUUCGGAAUAACUCCCCGAAAGGGGUGCUAAUACCGGAUAAUGUCUUCGGACCAAAGAUUUAUCGCCUUUGGCUGGGCCCGCGUUGGAUUAGCUAGUUGGUAGGGUAAAAGCCUACCAAGGCGACGAUCCAUAGCUGGUCUGAGAGGAUGAUCAGCCACACUGGGACUGAGACACGGCCCAGACUCCUGCGAGCGGCAGCAGUGGGGAAUAUUGGACAGUGGGCGAAAGCCUGAACCAGCACUGCCGCGUGAGUGAUGAAGGGCUUAGGGUUGUAAAGCUCUUUUACCCGGGAUGAUAAUGACAGUACCGGGAGAAUAAGCUCCGGCUAACUCCGU
rnacentral:rRNA from 1 species